rnacentral:rRNA from 1 species
GGGAACGCUGGCGGUGUGCCUUAAGCAUGCAAGUCGACGGUCCGCAAGGACAGUGGCAGACGGAGUGAGUAACACGUAGGAAUCUACCCAGAAGUGGGGAAUAGCUCGCCGAAAGGCGGGGUAAUACCCCAUGUGGUCGCAAGACUAAAGUCGCAAGACGCUUCUGGAGGAGCCUGCGUCCUAUCAGUUUGUUGGGUGGGGUAAUGGCCUACCAAGACUACGACGGGUAGCCGGUGUGAGAGCCAUGACCGGCCACAAGGUAACUGAGACACGGUGCCUACACCUACGGGUGGCAGCAACUGGGAAUCUGCGCAAUGGGCGAAAGCCUGACGCAGCGACACCGCGUGUGGGAAUAAGGCCUUAGGGGUCGUAAACCACUGUGGCGAGGGAUGAAUUUUGACAGUACCCUCGCUAGAAAGCACCUGCUAACCACGUGCCAGAAGCCUCGGUAAUACGUGGGGUGCAAGCGUUAUCCGGAUUUACUGGGCGUAAAGCGUGCCGUCGGUGGUUAAGUAAGUCUUUCGUUUAAGCCUGGGGCCCCAACUCCAGACCAGCGGGGGAAACUACUUGACUGAGUCUGUUCGGGGAACUUGGAAUUCUCGGUGGAGGGGUGAAAUCCGUAGAUAUCAGAGAGGAACACCAGACGCGAAGGCAGAGUUCUAGGACACGACUGACACUCAGGGAUGACAGCUCGGGGAGCAAAAGGGAUUAGAGACCCCUGUAGUCCGAGCCGUAAACCUUCCUUGCUAGCUGGUUCUCGCAAGAGGGCUGGCGUAAGUUAAACGCGUUAAGCAAGGCGCCUGGGGAGUACGACCGCAAGGUUAAAACUCAAGGAAUUGACGGGGGGAGCGCACAACCAGUGGAGCAUGUGGGUUAAUUCGAUACGAAGCGAAAACCUUACCUGGGUUUGACAUGUACCUGCACGGUUAUGGAAACAUAGCUUUCUUCGAGAGUGGGUACACAGGUGAUGCAUGGCUGUCUGUCAGCUCGUGUCGUGAGACGUCCGCUUAAGUGCGGUAACGAGCGCAACCCUUAUCGCCAGUUAUAAGUGUCUGGCGAGACUGCCUUUGUUUUUACAAGGGAGGAAGGAGAGGACGACGUCCAAGUCAGCACGGUCCCCUUACAUCCAGGGCGACACACAUCCCUACAAUGGAGCCGACAACGGGUAGCGACGGGGUAACCCUGAGCCAAUCCUUAUAAGCGGCUCCUCAGUUCAGAUUGAGGGCUGCAAUUCGCCCUCAUGAAGCCGGAAUUGGUAGUAAUCGCAAAUCAUCAGGUUGCGGUGAAUACGUUCGCUCCUUGUACACACUGCCCGUCAGCCAGCAAUUGGCAACGCCCGAAGCGAUGACCGAAACUCGCAAGAGAUCGGCUCUUCUACGGCGAGGUCGCGAUGAGGACU